UGCAGUCGAACGAACUCUGGUAUUGAUUGGUGCUUGCAUCAUGAUUUACAUUUGAGUGAGUGGCGAACUGGUGAGUAACACGUGGGAAACCUGCCCAGAAGCGGGGGAUAACACCUGGAAACAGAUGCUAAUACCGCAUAACAACUUGGACCGCAUGGUCCGAGUUUGAAAGAUGGCUUCGGCUAUCACUUUUGGAUGGUCCCGCGGCGUAUUAGCUAGAUGGUGGGGUAACGGCUCACCAUGGCAAUGAUACGUAGCCGACCUGAGAGGGUAAUCGGCCACAUUGGGACUGAGACACGGCCCAAACUCCUACGGGAGGCAGCAGUAGGGAAUCUUCCACAAUGGACGAAAGUCUGAUGGAGCAACGCCGCGUGAGUGAAGAAGGGUUUCGGCUCGUAAAACUCUGUUGUUAAAGAAGAACAUAUCUGAGAGUAACUGUUCAGGUAUUGACGGUAUUUAACCAGAAAGCCACGGCUAACUACGUGCCAGCAGCCGCGGUAAUACGUAGGUGGCAAGCGUUGUCCGGAUUUAUUGGGCGUAAAGCGAGCGCAGGCGGUUUUUUAAGUCUGAUGUGAAAGCCUUCGGCUCAACCGAAGAAGUGCAUCGGAAACUGGGAAACUUGAGUGCAGAAGAGGACAGUGGAACUCCAUGUGUAGCGGUGAAAUGCGUAGAUAUAUGGAAGAACACCAGUGGCGAAGGCGGCUGUCUGGUCUGUAACUGACGCUGAGGCUCGAAAGUAUGGGUAGCAAACAGGAUUAGAUACCCUGGUAGUCCAUACCGUAAACGAUGAAUGCUAAGUGUUGGAGGGUUUCCGCCCUUCAGUGCUGCAGCUAACGCAUUAAGCAUUCCGCCUGGGGAGUACGGCCGCAAGGCUGAAACUCAAAGGAAUUGACGGGGGCCCGCACAAGCGGUGGAGCAUGUGGUUAAUUCGAAGCUACGCGAAGAACCUUACCAGGUCUUGAC
rnacentral:rRNA from 1 species